GUGGGGAAUAUUGCGCAAUGGGCGAAAGCCUGACGCAGCAACGCCGCGUGAGUGAUGAAGGUCCUCGGAUCGUAAAGCUCUGUCGGCAGGAACGAGGGUCCAGCGGGUUAAUACCUCGAUGGAUUGACGGUACCUGCAAAGGAAGCACCGGCUAACUCUGUGCCAGCAGCCGCGGUAAGACAGAGGGUGCAAGCGUUGUUCGGAAUUAUUGGGCGUAAAGGGCGCGUAGGCGGCUAGGUAAGUCAACUGUGAAAGCCCAGGGCUCAACCUUGGAAGUGCAGCUGAAACUGCCUAACUAGAGUCUCGGAGAGGGUGGUGGAAUUCCCAGUGUAGAGGUGAAAUUCGUAGAUAUUGGGAGGAACACCGGUGGCGAAGGCGACCACCUGGACGAAGACUGACGCUGAGGCGCGAGAGCGUGGGGAGCAAACAGG
rnacentral:rRNA from 1 species